UCGGUCAAAGUUGGUUUACAGACCAAUAUUACUGGAUUCAACAGCUUGCUAUUGAAAGCAAUGCAAUAAGGGAGCCACCAGUUAGCCACACCAGUGACUUUCAGCCUGAGGAGCCAAAGACAAAGUUCCAUGAAGUUGAAGAGGAGAGUCUGGUGAUAAACUCACACUGAACUGGGGGGAACCUCCGUGAAGCAAGGCACUUAAAAUAGAAGCAACAGCCGAAUGGAAAGACAGCUGCUUUACACUGGCCGCCAUGUUGGAUACAAAAAGCUGCUCGAUGUCACUUCUCUGUCGCCGGUGCGUUGAUCCAACCUUUACCGCAAAGCAGCAUCCUAACCAGACGGAUCUGCAGCGUGAAACUAAAUCACUGACAGAUUCAGCUGGAUUCACCCAGGCUAAAAAGUGGAUCACCAUAUGAUUUGACCAUAUGGUUUGUAACGCUGGAGUAAAUAUACUGUGAAUAUUGAA